UACAGAGGUCUCGAGCGUUCGGCGGAAUCACUGGGCUUAAAGCGUGUGUAGGCGGAUUGCUAAGUACCUUGUGAAAUCCCACGGCUUAACCGUGGAACUGCUUGGUAUACUGGCUGUCUUGAGCCACUUAGGGGCAACCGGAACAAACGGUGGAGCGGUGAAAUGCGUAGAUAUCGUUUGGAACGCCAAUGGUGAAAACAGGUUGCUGGGAGUGUGCUGACGCUGAGACACGAAAGCCAGGGGAGCAAACGGG
rnacentral:rRNA from 1 species